rnacentral:rRNA from 1 species
UGAGGAAUAUUGGUCAAUGGGCGAGAGCCUGAACCAGCCAAGUCGCGUGAGGGAAGACGGCCCUAUGGGUUGUAAACCUCUUUUGCCGGGGAGCAAAGCGCCGCACGUGUGCGGUCUGGAGAGUACCCGGAGAAAAAGCAUCGGCUAACUCCGUGCC